GGCGAACGCUGGCGGCGUGUCUGACACAUGCAAGUUGAGCGGGCAUUCAGCAGGGGCAACUCUGUUGGGUGCUAGCAGCGAACGGCUGAGUAACACGUGAGUAACCUACCCCGAAGUUCGGGACAACCGCCCGAAAGGGUGGCUAAUACCGGAUGUGUUUCCGAGGUGGAAAUCCUCGGAAGGAAAGUGGGGCAACCUAUCGCUCCGGGAGGGGCUCGCGGCCUAUCAGGUAGUUGGCGGGGUAACGGCCCACCAAGCCUACGACGGGUAGCCGGUCUGAGAGGACGUCCGGCCAGACUGGGACUGAGACACGGCCCAGACUCCUACGGGAGCAGCAGUUCAGAAUAUUGCG
rnacentral:rRNA from 1 species